GGAAGAGAAGGCGGGGCAAAUAGUGCUACGUGGCCUACGUGGCCUAGGCGGAACGUAGCGUGAUCUGGGCCUGCGCAGGAAGGAAACAGGGAAGGAUACAAGCUCAGAGAAUGAGAAAGAUGAAGGUCAUUCACCCUCCAGCCCUGCCUGGAGGACUCAGAAGGGCGUCCUGCUGGCCAGAGGAUGACAGAUGGCACCCCUUCCCUUGUAUGCAGGGGAGACUGCCUUGGCCUGAUUCUGUCCAGUUAACAAAACAGAGGGCUCUGCCAAGACAAACAGCCGAGAACUUUAAGCAAGCACAUUUCUACAAUAUUUUUUCUCCCCAAGAAAGCCCAUCACUUUCUGAGUGCACCAGAAACAAGCAGGCUGAUCUGAUUUAUGAACCCCUCACCCACAGGCCACUGCCACAUACCACCCCCUUGGUCCUGGGCCUCACUUGUCAGCCGAGUGCACACAGGGCUCAGGACAAUGUCAAAGACUGCUGUCUCUUCAGGCGUGUCCGCGGUGAGAAAAUUCACUGGGCUGUUUGCUUGUGUGGGCACAUUUCUGGGUGCAUCUCAUACUCCAACAGAGAAUUCAUGAUUUAAAUAAACACAGACCACAAUCAUGGAGGUCCCUCCCAUCUCUUCUCCUCUAAUAAGUUUAAGAUAAAUACAAAGCAAAUAAAUGGAAGGUCCUCCCCUGUGAGCUGAGAGCCUGG
rnacentral:lncRNA from 1 species